rnacentral:rRNA from 1 species
GAUGAACGCUGGCGGCGUGCCUAAUACAUGCAAGUCGAGCGAACAGGCGAGGAGCUUGCUCCUCUGACGUUAGCGGCGGACGGGUGAGUAACACGUGGAUAACCUACCUAUAAGACUGGGAUAACUUCGGGAAACCGGAGCUAAUACCGGAUAAUAUAUUGAACCGCAUGGUUCAAUAGUGAAAGACGGUUUUGCUGUCACUUAUAGAUGGAUCCGCGCCGCAUUAGCUAGUUGGUAAGGUAACGGCUUACCAAGGCAACGAUGCGUAGCCGACCUGAGAGGGUGAUCGGCCACACUGGAACUGAGACACGGUCCAGACUCCUACGGGAGGCAGCAGUAGGGAAUCUUCCGCAAUGGGCGAAGGCUUGACGGAGCAACGCCGCGUGAGUGAUGAAGGUCUUCGGAUCGUAAAACUCUGUUAUUAGGGAAGAACAAAUGUGUAAGUAACUAUGCACGUCUUGACGGUACCUAAUCAGAAAGCCACGGCUAACUACGUG